AGGGCACCACCAGGAGUGGAGCCUGCGGCUUAAUUUGACUCAACACGGGAAAACUCACCCGGCCCGGACACCGUAAGGAUUGACAGACUGAUAGUUCUUUCUUAAUUCGGUGGGUGGUGGUGCAUGGCCGUUCUUAGUUGGUGGAGCGAUUUGUCUGGUUAAUUCCGAUAACGAACGAGACUCUGGCCUAUUAAAUAACACACAGAAUCUUGUCUUCUGUGGCGUUUCUUAAUGGGAUCAAGUGUGUUUAACACUUUGAAACAGAGCAAUAACAGGUCUGUGAUGCCCUUAGAUGUUCGGGGCCGCACGCGCGCUACAUUGAGAGACAAAAUGAGUUUUCUAGUCUUUAAUAAGGCUAGUAAUCUUUGAAUGUUUUUCUUAAUGGGGAUAGGGGAUUGCAAUUGUGCCCCUUGAACGAGGAAUUCCCAGUAAGUGCUAGUCAUUAGCUAGUACUGAUUACGUCCCUGCCCUUUGUACACACCGCCCGUCGCUACUACCGAUUGGAUGACUUAGUGAGGU
rnacentral:rRNA from 1 species